UGAAAGAUAUGAUUCAUUAUUGAUGUCACUUGUUAAAUCCACUUCAGUCAGUGUAGAUGAAGGGGAGGAGUCAGGUUAAAUCCACUUCAGUCAGUGUAGAUGAAGGGGAGGAGUCAGGUUAAAUCCACUUCAGUCAGUGUAGAUGAAGGGGAGGAGUCAGGUUAAAUCCACUUCAGUCAGUGUAGAUGAGGGGGGAGGAGUCAGGUUAAAUCCACUUCAGUCAGUGUAGAUGAAGGGGAGGAGUCAGGUUAAAUCCACUUCAGUCAGUGUAGAUGAAGGGGAGGAGUCAGGUUAAAUCCACUUCAGUCAGUGUAGAUGAAGGGGAGGAGUCAGGUUAAAUCCACUUCAGUCAGUGUAGAUGAAGGGGAGGAGUCAGGUUAAAUCCACUUCAGUCAGUGUAGAUGAAGGGGAGGAGUCAGGUUAAAUCCACUUCAGUCAGUGUAGAUGAAGGGGAGGAGUCAGGUUAAAUCCACUUCAGUCAGUGUAGAUGAAGGGGAGGAGUCAGGUUAAAUCCACUUCAGUCAGUGUAGAUGAAGGGGAGGAGUCAGGUUAAAUCCACUUCAGUCAGUGUAGAUGAAGGGGAGGAGUCAGGUUAAAUCCACUUCAGUCAGUGUAGAUGAAGGGGAGGAGUCAGGUUAAAUCCACUUCAGUCAGUGUAGAUGAAGGGGAGGAGUCAGGUUAAAUCCACUUCAGUCAGUGUUGGUGAAGGGGAGGAGUCAGGUUAAAUCCACUUCAGUCAGUGUAGAUGAAGGGGAGGAGUCAGGUUAAAUCCACUUCAGUCAGUGUAGAUGAAGGGGAGGAGUCAGGUUAAAUCCACUUCAGUCAGUGUAGAUGAAGGGGAGGAGUCAGGUUAAAUCCACUUCAGUCAGUGUAGAUGAAGGGGAGGAGUCUGGAUAAAGAAGGAUGUUUAAG